rnacentral:rRNA from 1 species
UGAAACUUAAAGGAAUUGGCGGGGGAGCACCACAAGGGGCUGAAGCCCUGCGGUUCAAUUGGAGUCAACGCCAGGCAAUCUUACCCGGAGAGACAGCAGAAUGAAGGUCAAGCUGAAGACUUUACCAGACAAGCUGAGAGGUGGUGCAUGGCCGUCGCCAGCUCGUGCCGUGAGAUGUCCUGUUAAGUCAGGUAACGAGCGAGAUCCCUACCUCUAGUUGCCACCAGUAUUCUCUGGAAUAGUGGGGCGAAUUAGCGGGACUGCCGUAGUUAAUACGGAGGAAGGAAGGGGCCACGGCAGGUCAGUAUGCCCCGAAACUCUGGGGCCACACGCGGGCUGCAAUGGUAGUGACAAUGGGCUCCGAAUCCGAAAGGAGGAGGUAAUCCUCAAACGUUACCACAGUUAUGACUGAGGGCUGCAACUCGCCCUCACG